rnacentral:rRNA from 1 species
CUACGGGCGGCUGCAGUGGGGAAUAUUGGACAAUGGGGGAAACCCUGAUCCAGCAAUGCCGCGUGUGUGAAGAAGGCCUGCGGGUUGUAAAGCACUUUCGGUUGGGAGGACUGCUUCUAGCACUAAUAUUGUUGGAAGUUGACGUUACCUUCAGAAGAAGCACCGGCUAACUCCGUGCCAGCAGCCGCGGUAAUCGGAGGGUGCAAGCGGUAAUCGGAAUUACUGGGCGUAAAGCGCGCGUAGGCGGCUAGAUCAGUCGGGUGUGAAAGCCCCGGGCUUAACCUGGGAACUGCAUCCGAUACUGUCUAGCUCGAGUACAGGAGAGGAGAGUGGAAUUCCACAUGUAGCGGUGAAAUGCGUAGAUAUGUGGAGGAACACCAAUGGCGAAGGCAGCUCUCUGGCCUGAUACUGACGCUGAGGUGCGAAAGCGUGGGGAGCAAACAGGAUUAGAUACCCCUGUAGUC